rnacentral:rRNA from 1 species
GACGAACGCUGGCGGCGUGCUUAACACAUGCAAGUCGAACGAAGAGCGAUGGAAGCUUGCUUCUAUCAAUCUUAGUGGCGAACGGGUGAGUAACGCGUAAUCAACCUGCCCUUCAGAGGGGGACAACAGUUGGAAACGACUGCUAAUACCGCAUACGAUCUAAUCUCGGCAUCGAGGAUAGAUGAAAGGUGGCCUCUACAUGUAAACUAUCACUGAAGGAGGGGAUUGCGUCUGAUUAGCUAGUUGGAGGGGUAACGGCCCACCAAGGCGAUGAUCAGUAGCCGGUCUGAGAGGAUGAACGGCCACAUUGGGACUGAGACACGGCCCAGACUCCUACGGGAGGCAGCAGUGGGGAAUCUUCCGCAAUGGACGAAAGUCUGACGGAGCAACGCCGCGUGAGUGAUGACGGCCUUCGGGUUGUAAAGCUCUGUUAAUCGGGACGAAAGGCCUUCUUGCGAAUAGUGAGAAGGAUUGACGGUACCGGAAUAGAAAGCCACGGCUAACUACGUG